rnacentral:rRNA from 1 species
AUGAGCUGGAAUGUACGGGGCUUGAACUCGCCGGCGAAGAGAGAAGCGGUUAGAGAAGUAGUGGCUGCACACCGUACCGCCAUUCUAUGCAUGCAAGAGACCAAGAUAGAUGCUUGGUCACCGGCCCUAGUCCGUGAAAUUUGUGGCCAAACGCUGCAAGGUUGCGCCGUCAUGCCCGCCAUCGGCACCCGCGGGGGCAUUGCCAUUCUGUGGAACAGAGAUCUUGUAGAUGUCGUCACGCACGCCGUUGGCCAAUUUGCAGUCACGAUUAGGGUCACCGUAGCUAGAUGCCACACUUCUUUCUGGCUAACCACGGUCUACGGAGCGACCGAAGACGCAAACAAGGAGGCUUUUCUCCUGGAGAUCUCGAGCACGGCGCCGCCUGUGUCUGAACCUUGGAUAAUCUGUGGUGACUUCAAUCAAAUAUAUGAGGUGAGAGAGAAGAACAAUCUCAACCUCAAUAGGAGGCUGAUGGGCCGGUUCAGGGUGGCCAUUGACAGAGCGGGGCUUCGUCAGCUAAAGUGCAGCAACCGCAAGUACACCUGGAGCAAUGAGCGCGACAACCCAACCCUAGUGGGUAUCGACAAAUUCUUCUACAACAUGCCAUGGGAAACCAUUUUUUCCCUGACCAUGCUCAUGGCUGCCUCCACCCCUGCUCCGAUCAUUGCCCGCUGGGGCUGUCCGAUGCGGCCGGACCCCGACGGCGCAAGUGCUUCAAGUUUGAGUCCUUCUGGCUGCGCUUCCCACGUUUUGCGGAAACGGUGA